UACAGAGGUCCCGAGCGUUGUUCGGAUUUACUGGGCGUAAAGGGUGUGUAGGCGGUCAAGCUAGUCCGACGUUAAAUAUCUGGGCUCAACCCAGAUACCGCGUUGGAUACUUCUUGGCUAGAGAGGCAUAGGGGGAACCGGAAUUCUCGGUGUAGCAGUGAAAUGCGUAGAUAUGCGGAGGAACACCGAUGGCGAAGGCAAUCCCCUGGGCCUGCACUGACGCUCAUGCACGAAAGCGUGGGGAGCAAACAGG
rnacentral:rRNA from 1 species